rnacentral:rRNA from 1 species
UACGUAGGGUGCAAGCGUUGUCCGGAAUUAUUGGGCGUAAAGAGCUCGUAGGCGGUCUGUCGCGUCGGCUGUGAAAACCCAGGGCUCAACCCUGGGCCUUCAGUCGAUACGGGCAGACUAGAGUCCGGCAGGGGAGACUGGAAUUCCUGGUGUAGCGGUGAAAUGCGCAGAUAUCAGGAGGAACACCGGUGGCGAAGGCGGGUCUCUGGGCCGGAACUGACGCUGAGGAGCGAAAGCGUGGGGAGCGAGCAGG